rnacentral:lncRNA from 1 species
CUUUGGAACCAAUAAGUCUAUCACGCUUCAGGCGAUCUUUAGACUUACUAGCAGUUGAUCUUAUCCUUAUAGGAUAUUACUUUUAAUUGGAGCACAGCUGGUCUGAUUUAUCACUUAAGGUCAGGAAAUGCUUCUGGCAUAUAAUUUGCUUAACUUUGCAAAUGAAUUAUCUUUUAACUUGUAGUGCACAUUCUUUAGUACGAGGAUCAAGAUAAUUUCUUCCAAUAUAUUUCUUUACCAGCUGUUUAUUUUCUCCCCCUAAUGUUGGAAAGACUGACUCACUGAAUUGACAGUCUCCAUCUCGAGCCUUAAAUAAAU